rnacentral:lncRNA from 1 species
CUUGUCCUGCAAAUGGUGCGAGUGAAGAAUCCACAGAUUAGCUGGAAGGAGGAACGUUUGAGUUUGAAAACGCCAAGAAUCAUUCCUGAACUGGCAAGGCUGGCCACCUGCGUUUUAAAAACACAUUGGCACUAGCCUUGAAAACAGACUUUUAGACUUCUUACUCUGCGUAAUGAAAGAUCUUUUCUGAUAUAUAGGCAACAGAAUGAUUUUUUUAAAAACAAUAAUGGACAUAUUCCAUUUUAUUGAUCUUUACCUAAAAACUAAAAACUAACUGGAAAACAGGAAAUAUUUAAUAGUGACAUUUUCAUAGCACCAAAGGAAGAAUCUACGUGUCUUCCUUUUUAUAGAUUUUUCUGUAGAUGUCUUAAGAAGCAUUGAACCCUUUAUACAGAUGGGUAAAUAAAACACAGUAAGCUUGAGAUAUGCAAAUCAGAUUGGAGCCAGAUAAGGAUGGGGGCUGGCGCUGGCUUCAAUUCUGACUAAUCUUGGGCAAGCUGCUCAGCCUAUUACUCACUGUCUACACAGGAAUGACUGUCUACAUAGGAAUAGCUCCUCUGCAGAGACAUCUAGAAGAUGCUGAGAUAAUAUAUGUAAAAACUGACAAGCCCUUUGGGACAGAUACCAGCAAAUGCAAGGCGUAUGCUAUGGAAGUUUUAUCAUCCUAACAGAUAAGCCCGUCCCCAACUCCAGUGAGUGACUGAGAGACACGGGCAUGAACGCUGAGCUCAGAUGACAGCAUCUUUUCACAGCAGACCUGGGCCCAGCCCCUGGAAGCACACGAUGAUGAACUGUCCUCUGGUUUCCCAAGACUUCAAAAAUGAAACCCAGUGAUCAAGAGAUGUUUGGCUUUGAACACUGCGGGAAUUAAAGCCAGCACCCAGUUAAAGCCAGUGAGGACAGCACUCCAAGGUUUGGGGACGGUCUCAGGACACUAAUCCUGGUUCCUUUUCUAUUUUGCCUGGGUCCCUCCUGCCCAUCCUGGGAAGCCGUGGCAGCUGUUGGGGAUGUGGGGCCCCAGCUGCAGCUGUGGGUGAUUCGGAUGGUCUGUUGGUGGAAUGUGGAGCUGGACGGGUCAAGGAGCACAGUGUGGAAAGAGGGACAAUUUGCUACAAGUUGGAGAUAAGAGACAUGGCAUACUGUGAAACCAGUGCUGACGGAAGAAGGUGACUUUCUUGGAAGGUCAAGACACUUGCUUGACAGCGAUGUCCAGGAGGGCUAGGGAGAGUUCUGCUGGAAGUGAAGGCAGCACCUGAGGGUGGCUGAGGGAACUGGUCAGGGCUGGGAACGCCUCCAGCCCUUUGAGGAAUGAUUCGCUGAUUAAGAGAUGUUUGGCCUUGAAAAUUGCAAGAAUGAAAUCUCUUGGUGGGAAUGUGUAGCCAAAAGCCAGCACCCUGAGUGGCUCCAAGGUUUGGGGACCCUCUCAAGGCACAAAUCCCAGUUCCUUUUCAAUUUUGAAAAUCGUUGUGGGCGAUUCUGGAAUUGAGAAGUGUGCUGAGAGCCAUGGAUUUAACAUGACAAGAAUUUCCGCCCCUUCGUCACUGAGCACACCGCAAAUGCUCCAGGGCCAGGGACUUACUUGGGCUUCUGCGUGUCUUCCACAGUGUGCAUCAAUCCGCCGGGCUCUGGUUGGUGUUUAAAAAAAAAGAUGCAGCGAAGGAAUCUGGUGUGGACAAACGCCCUGGGCAUGGACCAAAAGCCUGGCCCUUGUGUCCCUGGCAAUGGGACGGUGAAGGACAGAAAGACAGCACAUCCAGUAGUGUCAGGAGCUUGGAGCAGGCAUUCGGAAGCAUCUGUUAAAUGUUAUUGAUGGAGGAUUGACAUAACCCACAUCUGCAUAGCUUUUUUGGUCUGUUUUUGGAAGUGAACAGUCACAAACAAAAACAACUUUGGUUCAGGUCAUUUAUAGGCCCAGAUCCUCUAUCCUUAGAGGUUUCCCACCAGAUAUACUAUUUCACUAUCUAUGCCAGGAAAGUUACGUAAAACCACGCAGAAUUUUACCUGACAACGAAAUAGACCUUUUCGUUAGAUCCUCCACCCCACCUAAAGCAGUUACACAGGCUGAAAUGAAACUGUUAAAGGAAUGAACUAACUUGGAGAUAGAAUCAUCGCCUUUGCUGAACACCAUUUUAAGAAUAUUGGAAUAUAUAGGGGUACCAGCAUAAUAGUAAAAUGUGCCCAUAUUAUCUAUAAUUUUAUGCUGGGCACUUUUUAGAAAUUAUUUUUUAUAACUUUGUCUUUGAGAUGAUUUGGCUACAAGUUCAUUACAUUUAGUUUACAACUGGCUUUGAUUUCUUGGCAUUCGUUGUGUAUUAUUAGGAAACCCCGCAGAGAGAAAAUGUAAACUCCAAAUUGCUUUAAAAUAUUAUGAUAGUUUUUAGGGAUAUUACACUGUGACAGUGAAUGAAAUGGACGUAACGUUCUGUUUUGUAGAUAUUUUGUGAAAUCUUUAUUAGUCUUGAUUUUCUUUGGAACAAGUCAUUCCUGUUCUGGGCUGAAGCCUGAAAAUUCCCUGACCUGUGACCCUGGCCCAAGGCUCCUCUUGGAUAAAACAGUGUUUCCUGGACCAGAGGGCAAAGUCACAGAAACAUGAUGUGACGAAAUCUAAAUAGAAAGGUAUUGAUUUGUUCUUCGUUCAUCAAAUAGUUAUUGGACUCCAGCACGUAUGAGUAGCAGGGAGCCUGGCUAGCACUACACCUUCCCCUCCUGCCUCUCAGGGUCAGGGCCACAGGCACACACAGAGCGAGGGAAAAUGAGGGGGUAGAGAGGCUGGUCCCGAGUCUCCAGCCCUUCUCUCCCAAUCCUCUCCCUGAGUGGGCAGGGAACUCUUCUCUUGGCUCCUCCAACUUCCAUCAACGUCUGCCCUUGGGUCUGGUUUUAAACUCUAAGGUGUAAAUGACUCAUAAUGGCUCAACAUUUUGUCCCUCCCAAGAGGUAUUUUUAAGUCUAAGGAAUAAAGAUUUAAUAGUAAAA